CUCAAACACAUGGUGACACUGUGGGUCUCCAUGGAGAGGGUUUCAGAACUGCCACGUUACUCAGUGCUCACAUGUACCCCCUGUCAGAACACCAGCCAUGUACGUCCGCAGACUCAAUACCUGUGGAGACACUGGGGCAGAGAGACCUGGAUUUACUCCAGACUCUGCAGGUGUGUGAAAGGUUGUGGCAAGAGAUUGUCGACCUGUCCAGGCUGAAUCCCUGCCUCUCGCCAAUGCACACUGGAAUAGGCUCCAGCACCCCCCACAACCCUGACCUGGAUAAGGGUAUGGAUGGAUGGAUGGAUGGUUAAAGGACCUGUCUCUCUUAAACCACUCAUCUAAAAUAAGAUGAGAAUUUGUCUCAUGCUCUUGAUCUGUAACCCUCUUUGCUUUCCUCCAUCUGAAUAAA